CAGGUCUUGACAUCCAGAGAGCUUUCCAGAGAUGGAUUGGUGCCUUCGGGAACUCUGUGACAGGUGCUGCAUGGCUGUCGUCAGCUCGUGUCGUGUGAUGUUGGGUUAAGUCCCGUAACGAGCGCAACCCUUGUCCUUAUUUGCCAGCACGUAAUGGUGGGAACUCUAAGGAGACUGCCGGUGACAAACCGGAGGAAGGUGGGGACGACGUCAAGUCAUCAUGGCCCUUACGACCUGGGCUACACACGUGCUACAAUGGGGCGUACAAAGGGUUGCGAAGCCGCGAGGUGGAGCUAAUCCCAUAAAACGUCUCGUAGUCCGGAUUGCAGUCUGCAACUCGACUGCAUGAAGUCGGAAUCGCUAGUAAUCGCGAAUCAGAAUGUCGCGGUGAAUACGUUCCC
rnacentral:rRNA from 1 species